rnacentral:misc_RNA from 1 species
GAAAUGCGAUAAUUAAUGUGAAUUGCAGAAUUCAGUGAAUCAUCGAGUCUAUGAACGCACAUUGCGCCCCCUGGUAUUCCGGGGGGCAUGCCUGUCCGAGCGUCAUUGCUGCCCUCAAGCACGGCUUGUGUGUUGGGCUUCCGUCCCUGGCAACGGGGACGGGCCCAAAAGGCAGUGGCGGCACCAUGUCUGGUCCUCGAGCGUAUGGGGCUUUGUCACCCGCUCCCGUAGGUCCAGCUGGCAGCUAGCCUCGCAACCAAUCUUUUUAACCAGGUUGACCUCGGAUCAGGUAGGGAUACCCGCUGAACUUAAGC